UGGCGGACGGGUGAGUAAUGUCUGGGAAACUGCCUGAUGGAGGGGGAUAACUACUGGAAACGGUAGCUAAUACCGCAUAACGUCGCAAGACCAAAGGAGGGGACCUUAGGGCCUCUUGCCAUCGGAUGUGCCCAGAUGGGAUUAGCUAGUAGGUGGGGUAAAGGCUCACCUAGGCGACGAUCCCUAGCUGGUCUGAGAGGAUGACCAGCCACACUGGAACUGAGACACGGUCCAG
rnacentral:rRNA from 1 species